UACGUAGGGGGCUAGCGUUGUCCGGAAUCAUUGGGCGUAAAGCGCGUGUAGGCGGCUCGGUAAGUCCGCUCUGAAAGUCGGGGGCUCAACCCUCGGAUGCGGGUGGAUACUGUCGAGCUUGAGUGCGGAAGAGGCGAGUGGAAUUCCUGGUGUAGCGGUGAAAUGCGCAGAUAUCAGGAGGAACACCAAUUGCGAAGGCAGCUCGCUGGGACGUUACUGACGCUGAGAAGCGAAAGCAUGGGGAGCGAACAGG
rnacentral:rRNA from 1 species